UGUGUACAAUGUAAUGGCUAAAAUCCAUAACGUGCCACACAUAAAAUGAACAAUUCUUGAAUAUAUAACCGAUACGUAUAUGAAUCAAGCGAGAAAGCACGACGAAGCGAAAAAAUCAAAAUGGCUGCACUCGUCAAGUCUGGAUCAGCACUUUUCAUCCGAGAGAUUUUAAUUAACAUACUGCUUCGUAUCUGCUAGAUUCCGGCUGCUGCUCCAAAACUCAAGCUUACGAGAGGAGAUGACGGCGAUACGUCUGCCUCACCGAUUUACCUAUUUAGGAAAUUCCCAUUAUAUGCGCUAUAUAUGGUACCAUCAAAACAUCAGUUUUCAUCAGCAUCCGAUUAUCCGCAGUUAGUACCUAGAAGGAACCAGCCAGCAACAGCAUCAAACAUCGCUGAUCGAUCAACAAAAGAUUGCUUUAUCGAGCAGUUGACGCCCCCGCUGACGCCACAAUUAUUUCUAUAAGAAAAAUUUGCAAGCGGAAAGUGAUACGACGGUAAGCUUGACGGCAACGACAAUGCUCCUGCUGCAACAAAGUACAUACACGAAACUAUAGAUAGUAGAAUCUAGAGGCCUGAAUAAUUCAGGCCUCUAGUAGAAUUCCACUAUCUAUACACGAAACCGAAUGAGUUUAUCCACACACAGCACGCACCAAUUGUGCGCUAUUCCAAAAAUUGUUCCUUCGAGAAGUUUGACAAAAGUCCCCAGUUGAAUAAUAAGUUGGUGAUUGAAUAAUCUAAACAGCAGUAUUGUUAAUCUGCUGCUAUAGGACCAAAUCAAAAACAUUACUUUGAGCAAACACACAGCGAAAAGGUUUCAAUGAAAAUGCAUAAAUGUUGGACAGAAGAUGGCUCAGUAGGUGCUGGCAACAAAAAGAAGUAAAGUGCUGGUGGACGGAUUUCGCUACUGUGGGAUUGGGGCAAGGAAAUAUUCAGUUACAGAGCCACGACUGUGAGAAAGCGAUCGUGCACAUUAGUAAUUUUCCAAUGUUCUAUGGCAAAUAUCUUUCGGAAAAUCCACGGACCUAUGGCACUUGUAGAAGGACUUGGUUUUACUGGCACAGGACAAAAACUCACCAAUUACAAGGCGUGAUACCGGCAAUAACUUUCCUGUCCACAAAGAACAUGAAACGACAAGUUAUUUUAUCUUUUGCGCAAUAGAGGCAUAGGAACUGUCGGAUCGUAGUGUGCCAUGUACAAGACUUGACGCGAAAAUUUUCCAUCCCGAUUUCCAUUUUUGCUGUUACUUCAUUUAAGUUCAAUAUAUUAUUCAAGAAUUCAUUCGUGAAUGUAACUGUGCCUAAUAUGAAAAGAACUAGACUGAAAUUCGAAAUGGUAGCACAAUGUCCUCCGAAUGUUUCAACGGCAAUCGAAGCUGGAGUCCAGGAUCCGCUGUGUAUAAUCAGUGACCCUAACAUCAUCAACGACAGCAUGAACAGGACAGAACAUUGGACUAAAUCUGGAGCUGGCAAUCAAAAUCAGCCUAAAGAGAAGACACUUUGCAAGGAGGAACGCAAACAAGAGGCAGAGAACUUCUCCGGUUUGAUUCAGACGAUAGGUAGGCCCCCACCCAAGGUAAGACUCCCUCCAUUGAGAGUGAUUUGAUUGAGGUAAGAAAUAUGUCUUUUCUUUACGAUUAUUGAACUUAUGCUGUAGUUACUCGUUUCACGACCCCAUUAUUUUAUUAUGUAUCGGAAAUAGAGCAAAUAUGAUACAAAACCUUAAUGCUAUACACAGAAACAACAAACAUUAUUUUUACAAAUAUUUUGAGCUUUCUUUUUAAAAAGUAGCAAGUUUUCUUGAAAAUAAAAGUGUUUUUUUCAGAAUCGAAAGUUUUACUUUUGGAGAAAAAUUAUUUUUCGUCGGGUUCCAGUAUAAAUUUAAAAGUUCAUCUUUUCAAUUUAAAAAUUGUUACACUGUCAUUUCCCCAGACGAAAACAUAUCUUCUUUGACAGAUAGUAGUUGCGCAAUAAUGAAAUGAAACAUGUUUAUAGUUUUUUUUCCACAAGCGCGCGAAAAAAAAAUUGUUGGUGCUUGCGGAAUUUAGCACCGUUUUGUGUGCUUGAUUAUUUAUUUAAAUAAUUACAAGUCCCGUAAAAAAGUGCGUCGAAUGUGGGAAUUGUAAGAAAACACCAGACAUCAUUGCCAAUCGUGCUACUAGUCCGAAACGCUGGUCAUCUCAUACGAUAUCAAAAGAUAUAUAAUUAUCACCGACAAGAAAUUAAUGGUGCAACCUCCACAGAUGACUACGAAGCUCAUCUUCACCCUGACUAGGAGCCGGAUCACGAACUGCGGGAGAUGUUGCAGCUUGCAUUUUGUGAGUAGUGAAUAAAAAUGUUAUAAAUAAAUGAAAUAAAAUGUAAAAGAUAUUCAUUGUGAUUUGAUUAUUUAUAUUUAAGAUGGAAAGAUGACUGAAGGGUACAAGAAGAGAAGGGGGUUUAUUUAGUUGAAAUGAAAAUAUUUUGCUCUCUUUGUUACAGUAUAAACAUUUUCAUUUGAUUCAUUUGACAGUUCUACAAUUUGAUUUUAAAUGGUCAAACUUUUAAUUUCAGAGCGGCAUGCCACUUUUGGAUCAUGGUUGUUAAAAAAGUUUGCGUACUUUUAUUUUGAUCAUGCGGUACUCUCUACGAAAAAGAACCAACGAAACUUUUUAAAUUUACCAAUGUUUUUUUUAAUUUUAUUAAUGAAUUUUCUUUCUGUGUAGGUACCGUAUGUUACCUAUGCAUCAAUAAUAAACACAUUUUAUUCCACAUUACUGGUACAAAAUGGAAGUACAAAAUAAAAGUAAAGAUUUCGCUGAUCAAUUGCCAUUUUGUCUUGUUCUACUCAUAUUCAUAGCAAAAAACAACACACUAUCAUUUGAUUUCACUAGAACUGCCAUAAUAACUACCACUACUAUAAUAUUUUUUUUUUAUCUUAAUUGUACUCAAACCAACCACAAACUUAAUUUCAUUUACGAGCACAAGAAAUUACCUUUUUGUUGGAUUUUCUCUUGCCUAAUUUGAUUUGAGGUUUUAUUAAAGACUAUCGAUGUGAAUAGCUUCCUUUUUUAAUUGGUGUGUAUAGGAUUUUUUAUUUGACAGCGUUGCCACAUUUCACGACUGCAAUUUUUUGCAAUUAUAUCCAUUUGAAUUAUUCCUCUGAAAUGAAUUCUUAAGCACUGGGUGAAGAGUUUCAAAUAAAUAAAUGUUUCUCUGAACCGUACCGUACCGAAGUUGAAACAUUCAUUGGAAAACAUGUAGUGCCUCUUUGGGAACAUUUGCUACUGCAACACAUUGUAUAAUGAUUCUGAGUUCUAAAAAAUUGCUACUGGCAAAUGAUGCUGAUAUAUACAAAAAUUAGUUGGAAUGUCAUGUCCCUGUGUACUGCAGAGGACAUUUUCAAUAUAAAUACUUUAUUGAAAAAGCUUUUAUAGUUAUUUGCUUCUAUGCAGAAUUCGUACUUUUCGAUUGAUGAGACGAAAUCAUGCAUUUUUCUGGUCGAUGGAGAAUGUUUCGUAGUUUGUGGUGGAAAACAUCUUUGAAUCAUUCAUCCACUUAGAAUUCAUUUGUUGAUCAAAAUCAUUAUCAUAUCAGGGGGGAAGGGGAAUUUAAUUUCUUUUUGCUCUUUUUUCGUUUCAGAGAGCGAGCAAAGGCGCCUAAACCUAGGCUAUUAGCCAGGGCAAGGCUAAUACCUUCGCCCCAUCCGAGGAAAAUCAUCGGCAAGGAUAACGGAGUGACAUAAAUUUCUUAGCAUAGUCACUCCCAACGUAUUUCCACAAAUUUUCUAUCAUUUGCUUAUAAUGAUACUCCUAAACCACAUACCCUACCCACCAUCCAAUUCCUUGACAUCUAUGAGGGCGUCGGUGAGUCGCUGGCCUCUCGUUAAGUAGAUGUCAUAUCAUCAUUUCCUUCCCUUUCCUAGUAACGGAGAAGAUGGGCGUGGCCGGCAAUGAUAGCUUUCAUGUUUUAUCAUUUUGGACUUCAAUUGGAUUUCCAUUGAAUCCCAAAUGGAAAUCCAUAAGCAAUUGGGGUAAGAAAGGUAAAGAAUAUACAUGACAACUAUCAGUAUGCAAUCUACGAAAUACUCCGUUACAACGCAACGCAACGCAACGCAACUAGGCAUAGGAACUGUCGUGUCAGCAAACAGGAAUGGUACGAACUUGCAGAGCUGCACUACCGUAAGGCGUCGGCUAUCGAAAAACUCGGACAUCAUAAUUCACUUUGGAGCAAUGCAGUUAUUUCUGAGGAGUCGUAAGAAAUACUGUUGAAUUCUCCCGAUCCUGCAGAACUCCCUGGCUAAGUCGAGGGCUAAGUUCAAUUACCGAGGCGUCCACGAAAACAAAACGGUGGUAAUACCAUUUUGUUCCAAUGAAAAAGCAUCCCCGCAAGGUCAUCAUUAGCUGCUAAAUGAUGAUGUGUUGUUAGUGAUGCUAUAAGUGUCGAAAAUGGAUAACAUUCGUUGCUGCUAUUAUGGCACAUAGCUACAUAAUCUUCGACAUUUCGCAACUGAUUUUGUUCAAUUCCGCCUAUACUCCAAUAAUGAUUAAAAACGACAGUAAGCUCCAAACUUUGUCUGAGUCCAAACUAUUGUGAACUCAAUGUGUUAGAAGUAUAACCCAAAAUUCAUAGUUUAUAUCCGGGUUUGUAUUGUAUAUCGAUUUACGA